UGGUAAUGCCGGAUGCUCCAGUUGAUCGCAUGGUCUUCUGGGAAAGCCUUUGCGGCAUGGGAUGGGGUCGCGUCCUAUCAGCUUGAUGGCGGGGUAACGGCCCACCAUGGCUUCGACGGGUAGCCGGCCUGAGAGGGCGACCGGCCACAUUGGGACUGAGAUACGGCCCAGACUCCUACGGGAGGCAGCAGUGGGGAAUAUUGCACAAUGGGCGCAAGCCUGAUGCAGCGACGCCGCGUGAGGGAUGGAGGCCUUCGGGUUGUAAACCUCUUUUGUUAGGGAGCAAGGCAUUUUGUGUUGAGUGUACCUUUCGAAUAAGCACCGGCUAACUACGUGCCAGCAGCCGCGGUAAUACGUAGGGUGCAAGCGUUAUCCGGAAUUAUUGGGCGUAAAGGGCUCGUAGGCGGUUCGUCGCGUCCGGUGUGAAAGUCCAUCGCUUAACGGUGGAUCCGCGCCGGGUACGGGCGGGCUUGAGUGCGGUAGGGGAGACUGGAAUUCCCGGUGUAACGGUGGAAUGUGUAGAUAUCGGAA
rnacentral:rRNA from 1 species